rnacentral:rRNA from 1 species
AACGAGACCUUAACCUGCUAAAUAGCCAGGCCGGCUUUCGCUGGUCGCCGGCUUCUUAGAGGGACUGUCAGCGUCUGGCUGACGGAAGUUUGAGGCAAUAACAGGUCUGUGAUGCCCUUAGAUGUUCUGGGCCGCACGCGCGCUACACUGACAGAGCCAGCGAGUUUUUCACCUUGGCCGGAAGGUCUGGGUAAUCUUGUGAAACUCU